CUCGGCUCGGGCUCGAGGGGCGUGGCUCUGGGUGAGGGGCGUGGCCAGCACUUGCUCGCUGGAGCGAGGAGACCCCAUAGUUCCAGAGCUUCUCCAGCGCCGCAACUGUCCUCUCGAGACAGUUCUUGGGCAACUGGAGACGGUUGACCAGGCUGAGGGCUGACUCAGGGCACCUCGGAACGCCCUGUCCCAGGGUCAUGUGGCCAUCCCUGUUGCUGCUGUUUCUGCUGCUUCCUGCUGCCCAUGGCGCCCCCCACCCGGCUGUGGACCUACAGGAAAGCUUUCCAAGCGUACUCGAAGAAAUCCAAAGCGAGGGAGACAGAGGCCUGUGGAGAGAGGACAGCCCGUCGUUCGCUGGCUCCCGCUGUGCUCCUGGCUCGUGAGGUGGCUGCUGUGUGGUCCAGAAGCUGGGGACGGGACUCGUGGCCCCCUGAGGGUCUGCCAGGCACAGGGUUGGGAGUCGCCCGCUCCUCCUCCCCAAACCCGCUUCUUGUCCCUCCCGGGCUUUUCAGCUGCUGACGGGGCUGGGGGUGGAUACCAGUGCCCUAGCAGGGGACAGACGUGGGUCUCACCGACCCACCUGCAGCACCG
ensembl:lncRNA